GGAAGUUAAAAAAACUGUUUUUUUAACUUUUAACUAAAAAAACUAAGAACCGAUUCUUAAAUAAGGAUUUUAAGAACCGGUUCUUAGUUUUUUAGUUAAAAGUUAAAAAACAGUUUUUUAACUUCC
rfam:Brassica oleracea var. oleracea cultivar TO1000 chromosome C2, whole genome shotgun sequence